rnacentral:rRNA from 1 species
CAGCAGGCGCGAAAACUUUACAAUGCGGGCAACCGUGAUAAGGGAACCUCGAGUGCCNGUAUANGCAGGCUGUCCAGGUGUUUAAAAAACACNUGAAGAAAGGGCCGGGCAAGACCGGUGCCAGCCGCCGCGGUAAUACCGGCGGCUCGAGUGGUGGCCACUUUUAUUGGGCUUAAAGCGUUCGUAGCUGGGUUGUUAAGUCUCUUGGGAAAUCUGACGGCUCAACCGUCAGGCGUUCAAGGGAUACUGGCAAUCUUGGAACCGGGAGAGGUGAGGGGUACUUCGGGGGUAGGAGUGAAAUCCUGUAAUCCUCGAGGGACCACCUGUGGCGAAGGCGCCUCACCAGAACGG